GUCUUCACUUUGGCAGCACAUAUACUAAAAUUAGAAUGAUAUGGUGAAUAUUAGGAUGACCACUGUGCAAGGAUGGCAUACCAGUUAAUGAAGCAUUCCAUAUUUUU
ensembl:snRNA LOC120097658 U6 spliceosomal RNA